UACGAAAGGAGCAAGCGUUGUUCGGAUUUACUGGGCGUAAAGCGGGCGUAGGUGGCUAAUUAAGUCGGGUGUGAAAUCCCAGGGCUCAACCCUGGAACUGCAUUCGAUACUGGUUGGCUAGAGUUCGGGAGGGGGAUGCGGAAUUCCGAGUGUAGCAGUGAAAUGCGUAGAGAUUCGGAGGAACACCUGAGGCGAAGGCGGCAUCCUGGACCGAUACUGACACUGAGGCCCGAAAGCGUGGGGAGCAAACAGG
rnacentral:rRNA from 1 species